AUACAACCAUAUCGGCGAUCAACUAUUUCUGCCGGUACAGUCGUGGACAAAACGUAGUCAUCAUCACAGGUGAUCGUCAGCCUGUCCAGUUCAACCGCGACAGAAGAGUUAUAUUUUGUCGCCGUGUGAUUAAUCAUUACAAUCGAAAUGACUAUAAUCGAGACGAAGAUCAACAAUACGCGCUGUUUCGCGACCAUUUGCAGUAUUUGCGUAGCAUCGUGUGUGCCAUCGAUUCGAAUUGCGGGAAACGCGUGCGAAGAAAAGAGCAAGAAUGAAAAGAGAAGGAACGAAAAAGUCGAACGAUGUUAUUAAUUCGAUUGCUACUCUCAAAAUGUAAAGUUAGCGGCCUAUGAGAAGAAUUAAUAAACCUAUUUUCCCAGAUAAUGGUGGAAGCAGCUUUUAUUUAACGUUACACAACGUAAUGACACGAUGGCACGAUACUGUUUUAUCAUUGUUCGAGUGACGAAUGUGUGUUCUACAAACCGUAAUUUUACAGAAAGCACGUAGUUUCGAAAAGUCGACAUUAAAAGCAAUAGACAAAUAAUUGAGAAUGAUCCAAGUAUUCUGGCAACGAAGUGUUUCGCUCUCCCUUUAUAACUGCACUAACUGUGCCAGACAUACGCACAUCAUAUAAUUGAUACAACUGAUUGUGAGUGUAAACACCAGAUGAACAGGUGACAGAUAACGUUGCCAAGUACAGGUUAAGACAGUGUAUAAAUUUGUUGUGUCUAAUACAGUAUACAGUGACUAAACUUGGUCUGCGACGUAGUUAUGUGCUGCAUCUUUAUAUCAUUUUACCAUUAUCUUAAUACGCUAUUAGUAACAAUCUUACUGUACUUGUAAUAGUUACUUAUUAUUUUCCAUACUGUUUCACUGUUUCUUUUAUUAUAUAUCAAUAUUAAGUCGUAACGAACUAGCUUAUUUGUUGAUAGGACUGUACUGGCAAUUACACCAUUUUUAAUAUAGUAAGACGUUAAAUAUGUUAUAAUUUGAUUACGAGUUCUUUUCUCUAAAAAUAUUUCUUAUGUAUCCUUACUUUCUUUUUAUGUUUUUGACAAUAAUUGCUAAACUAAUUUCGAAAUACAUUGGACAAAUUAUGGCUAUCAUUCUGAUCAUAAAUAUCAUAACAAUCAAAACAAUCAGUGCUCAAAAAGAUACUAAUCAAUAUAGUAAAGAAUAAGUAAAUGUCGUUUAUUAAAUUGUUAAAUUAUCUAGCUAGAAAACAAUACACUCGAAACGAUAAACUUAAAUAACAUGUAGCUCAUGUCCGAUACCUUAGUAUUCCACAGAUUCUUGGAAUCAGCAAUGAUUCCAAUGCACGGCAGCAAUCGUCUAAAUGCCGGCUUCGUUUAGGUGCGUCUGGUAUUGACAAGAAUACACGUAAGACACUUGUAAUUUCAUACCAUCUCUACCAUGUAACCAAUCCACGUUAAUCUAAAGGACUUUGACCUCGAUUUGCGUAAAUUCUGCAGAAAAUAAGCACUGCCCACACGAACAACUGACGCUCCAGUGCUCGUCAACUUUUUUUCUUUAACGUCGUUCAUGCAGAUAAAGCGAGACAACACAUCGCAGAGAAAUACAUUCACCUAGAAAACAUAGUCGAUCGAAGGACAUAUUUUGUCACAUUCAACAUACUCGCGUGUACAUCGAUUGUAAACUGCUUUACUCAAAACAAACACACAAAAAAAAAAAAAAAAAUAAUUUU